GUGGGCUUUGUCCCUGCGUGGGGCCAAGGUCGAAGAGGGUCCUCGGAUCUUUCUGCAGCCACAGAGGGACAGAUGGACUCUCAGGAGCCAGGACGCCCGGGAGCCCUCCCCGUUCCUAUUGACAGCCUCUCAAUAAACGGCCAGUCUGUGACUAAGGAAAUAACUCCAACCAAUGAAGAUAGGUGGAGAACUAUCAGGAGGGCCAGGAGGCCCGAGGGUGCUAUCUAACUGUCGGACAACAUCUGCAGCUUCUGCAGGCACCGCUGGCAGGCAAGGGAGCAGUGCUUGAACCCAAUCCUUUGCAAAGUUGCUAAGAGGGCUUGAGUCCACGACUAACCGCAGAUGAACACCGUUUCUACCCAUUCUGUACGAACAGAACGAAUCUACCAGCCCUGAUGGAACCUCGGGACAUGAAAGUCUCAAAACUUUGAAUCCUAACAGGCCUGCUGGUGUGGACCUCUUUAAUCCCAGCCCCUAGGAGUCAGAAGAUGAUCUCUGUGAGUUCAAGAUUCGCUUGGUCUACAAAGUUUGUUCCAGGACAGGUUACACAGAGAAACCCUGUCUCAAAACAAGCAGGCAACAAGCUUUGACUCACUGUAGAUCUAGACUAUAGUGUCUCCCCGAUGGGUUAAGUGUUCUGCUUUGUGCCUUAGACAUGAAGAGAGGCCUGAACAUUUUAAAAUAUUAAAAAAAAAAAAAGAGUAGAGUAAAAAUUGUUUCC